rnacentral:rRNA from 1 species
AUACGUAGGGGGCGAGCGUUGUCCGGAAUUACUGGGUGUAAAGGGCGUGUAGGCGGGGAUACAAGUUACCGGUAAAACCCCGAGGCUCAACCACGGGCUUGCCGAUAAAACUGUAUCUCUUGAGUGUAGGAGAGGGAAGUGGAAUUCCCGGAGUAGCGGUGAAAUGCGUAGAUACCGGGAGGAACACCAGUGGCGAAGGCGGCUUCCUGGCCUAUCACUGACGCUGAGGCGCGAAAGCUAGGGGAGCGAACGGGAUUAGAUACCCCGGUAGUCCUAGCCGUAAACGAUGGUCACUAGGUGUGGGUGGUGGUCAAGCCAUCCGUGCCGGAGCUAACGCAAUAAGUGACCCACCUGGGGAGUACGGCCGCAAGGUUGAA